UACGUAGGGUGCGAGCGUUAAUCGGAAUUACUGGGCGUAAAGCGUGCGCAGGCGGUUCGCCAAGUCAGGUGUGAAAUCCCCCGGGCUUAACCUGGGAAUUGCGCUUGAAACUAGCGGGCUUGAGUGUGGCAGAGGGGGGGUGGGAAUUCCACGUGUAGCAGUGAAAUGCGUAGAGAUGUGGAGGAACACCGAUGGCGAAGGCAGCCCCCCUGGGUCAACACUGACGCUCAUGCACGAAAGCGUGGGGAGCAAACAGG
rnacentral:rRNA from 1 species